rnacentral:rRNA from 1 species
GAGUUUGAUCUUGGCUCAAAUUGAACGCUGGCGGCAUGCCUUACACAUGCAAGUCGAACGGCAGCACGGGAGCUUGCUCCUGGUGGCGAGUGGCGAACGGGUGAGUAAUGCAUCGGAACGUAUCCUGGAGUGGGGGAUAACGUAGCGAAAGUUACGCUAAUACCGCAUAUUCUGUGAGCAGGAAAGCGGGGGACCUUCGGGCCUCGCGCUCUUGGAGCGGCCGAUGUCGGAUUAGCUAGCUGGUGAGGUAAAGGCUCACCAAGGCGACGAUCCGUAGCAGGUCUGAGAGGAUGAUCUGCCACACUGGAACUGAGACACGGUCCAGACUCCUACGGGAGGCAGCAGUGGGGAAUUUUGGACAAUGGGGGCAACCCUGAUCCAGCCAUGCCGCGUGAGUGAAGAAGGCCUCGGUUGUAAG